rnacentral:tRNA from 1 species
GGGUGGUUAGUUCAGUGGUAGAACAUCUCUUUUACACAGAGAAGACCGACGGUUCGAACCCGUCACUACCCAUCA